rnacentral:lncRNA from 1 species
GCCCGCCACAGUUUUCACUCCCCCCUGGUUUUUAUAAAAAUAUUUCGGCUUUUUGCAAUUUGCAGUGAAUCCUUGUUGUUUUGAUAUUUUCGACAUAUUUUUUCGCCUGUUGACAAUUUGUUCAAAGACGUGGAAGCUGUACACGUUAAUUCUCAUCCGUGGAGCGUGAAAGACAACAAACAACUAUUAAAACCUCGCGAAAUGUGGGCAAAAACGAUACUUCAAGCCAGAACAAACAUCCGUAUUUAUCAGACUAUAAACAGGUAUUUAUACAUUUUUCAAAAUUCACAUUACUAUUUUAAAUAUUUCAUGAAAAAAUGUUAGGAAUAAAUGGUAGAAUGUACUCUAUUUUUUAGAAAAUAAGCCACGAGUAUUUAUAAUGUGGUUGUAGACGAGCCUUUUAAUUUUAAAAUAUAAUAAUUUCAUCCCUCAAUCCCAAGGAAUUAAUGGUUGUACAUGUAUAUGAAUUUGACAAAUAUUUGAGUUGACAUGAAACUAUGAUGUGCUAGUAUAUUAAAGAGGGAAGUAAGGUUUUGUAGAUUUAGCCAAGACCGGGUUUUUUCAUGCAUGAGCUCAGAACUGGUGCUGGAAAAAGCUCAGCUGAUCUGAAAAUGCAUAUGUUUUGCCCAAGUUUCCAUGUAUAUUGUGUGCUCUCUGAUAGUUUGUUGUAUGUAUCUUUAAAAGGCCAUGCAUUAACUUGUUUGCCCCAUCCCUAUAAGUAUUGGGUUAAUUGACUCAACUGCUGGCAUAUUUCUGGUGUUCCUGAGGUAGGGGCUAAUGUGACAGCUAGCCCUAGGCCAGUAAGCAAGGUCUCACUCACUGUGUGGUUAUUUUUAUAGUGGAAAUUCCUUUCAAAUUGUAUGGACAACCUGACUGGCUCAGUUUUCAGAUCUCACCUGAAGAAGGCAAGCUCUCAGUUACACUGGGAAGAUAUUUUAUGGAUAUAAACACUAACUGGACUGACCUGGUCAAAGUAAAGUCAAUACAACAUUGGUCAUGGAAAUAUUGUCAAAACAAUAGACUGAAUUGUGUCGGCAAGGAAAUUAAUCUGGAAAUAAUAAAUAGUUCUGCCAACCAGGCCAGCCUGGCUUCCAUAUUGAUAGCCCCUAUGGCUAUAAUCUAUUCUUGCUUAUUGCAGAAUGUUCCCACAAUGAGUUCAUGCCACUGUUGUUAGUGAACCUCCAAGAAACAUGUAUUAAUUGUUUCAAAAUUAAUUAAAGACAAAAAUUUGCUUGAUUUUGUAUAUUAUUUAUUUUAAUUCAACUUGCAUGGUUAAAGAAUAAUUAUCCAGUUGGGACGUUCCAGAAAAGAUCCACACUCCCCCCACGGAGGAAAUUAAUGCCGUCCGGAGGGGGAGGAGGGAAAAAAUUGUUUCUGAUAAUAGUAAAUGUACGUAAUUUCCUCUGUGGGGGUGGUAUGGAUGUUUUCUGGAAUGACCCAUUAGCAAUAAAUAAUAUUAAAACCUAACUGUACAAUCACGUUACAUGUAAUACUUAACAGUAUUAUUAAAAAAUUAAAACUAGAGCUCAUGGGUUAUUCUUUGGCUGUUUGUAGAACAUAUUACAUAAACAAAUAACACAUUCCCACAAAAUUAUAGAGAAAAGUAAUUGUUAGUUCUGGCAUGCAGUUAAGUCUGGCAAGAGCUAGUGCACCACUUAACCCUUGCUAUUUGAACAUUCAAAAGAACUUGUAUUAAUUUCUUGUCCACAUGACUUGUACAUCAGAUUCACCCUAAAUGAAAAAUGUCCAUUAUACAUAUAAAAUAGUGACAGUACCAUAUGAAGACACUGAAGAUGUAUUGGGUCACAGAUCCCAGACUCCAAUUACAAGGAAAUUUACUGUAGAGCAGAGCCCAGACGGUUCAGUUAGACAUUGACAUGUUAACCCAUUGAGCACUGAGUGGCUCUCCAGUUCACAAGUAAAAUUGUCUGGUGUUAGACAGAGUAAAAUAAUAAAGUAGGGUGCAUUAGGGCACAAUGCAACCUAAUGGUUUUAAAAAUUAAUAUGGUAUGUCAUUUAUAAGUCCGUCUAAUAUGCCAGGCAAUUUUACUUGUUAAGGGGACAAUCUUGUCCAUUAUAAAUGGAUUAAUUGUAUUUCUUAACUAUCCCAAAGUUUCAUUUUACAUUACAAUAUAUCAAAAAUAAUCUAUGCAGAUAUAAGAGAGGAAGUUCGUAAAUAAUGUCUAACUGAACAGUUGGGCUCUACUCCAAUACUGGGGAUACCACCACUGAAGAUGCUCUCAAAUGUACAUGUUAUCAAUCAUCGGCAAUUUGAUUGGCAGCAAAUAUGCAUUGGCUGGCACGUAGACACCCUUCAUUCCUACAAAUACCUAACUACAAGUCUACAACUCUAAUGGCUGUGGAAUUUAUAUAACUCUGACAUACUAUGUUGGGCAGAUGAAUACCAUGUAAACCUCUGAAUGGGUUAUUCCAGAAAACAUCCAUACCACCCCCACAGAGGAAAUUGGAAGUUAACUCCCC